rnacentral:rRNA from 1 species
AAGAAGGCCUUCGGGUUGUAAAGCACUUUUGUCCGGAAAGAAAUCCUUUUGAGCUAAUACCUCGGGGGGGAUGACGGUACCGGAAGAAUAAGCACCGGCUAACUACGUGC